rnacentral:lncRNA from 1 species
CCAAACUCGUUUAAUUUUGAGAAAAGAUUGAUUAUGUUUGUUGAAGUUGUUGGUUGUAUUUGUUGAAGUUGUUGGUUGUGAUUGUGUUGAAGUUCUUGUUGAUUUGGGACAUGUUUCCGGUUGUGUUUGUGAGUUGAAAUCUAUUGUAUGUUGAGGGGUUUAUGAUUCUAAGUGUUUGGGGCUGGAUCCAUUGAAGUUAAGGAGGUUUAGAGUUGGAAAAAUGAAGGAGAAGAGUCG